GGAGAAGGAGGAGCGGGCGAGGAGACGAGGGCUCGCCUUCUGGAUGCAGACGAUCUGCCUCAUCCUGGUCUGCCUCCAGCUGCUCCUCGUUGUUGUGCUGGGCUCUGCAGUGCUGUACACCCAGCACUUCGACCAGGAGCUCUUCUAUUGGCUCCUGCCUCGAGUGCUGCCCCAGGCAACGUACGCUUCCCUGGCGUACUUUGCGAGCAGCACCCUGCGUGUGGUCUGUGAUGGGCUGCUGGCCAUCUGACCGCUGGGCUCGGUAGCCCCUCCCAGCUCGGGGCUGCGCGGUGGGGCGUGGGGAGAGGGCUCUGUCCCCAUGGAAGGGGCCUCUCUUGUGCUCCUGCCCCCCGGGGUGCACAGGCACAGCUGUGGGGCAGUGCUGACAGGCGGCUGAGUGCCGCUUUGGACUUCUCAGUGAGUUUCUACUGUCAUCGUGAGACGUCGUCGGCUGAACACCACCUCCUCCGACAACCCAGCACACUGGAGAUCCGCACCUGACACCAGGACGUGGCUGGAUCUAUGAGUGCUUUGCUGCCUGUCCCUCUUUCCCCAUUUUCUGCCUUUUUGUCAUCUGGUAUUCUUUGGCUCUUUGUCACAGCCAUUGCCUACAAUUGUUACAUCUAAUAUUAUUCAUUGCAAUCAGCCCAUUGGCCAAUGUUACCACCAAUUGGUUGUUGCUGGUUGUUAAGAAAGCUCUCAAUAAAUGGUCAUCUAUUA